rnacentral:rRNA from 1 species
GUGAGGAAUAUUGCGCAAUGGAGGCAACUCUGACGCAGUCAUGCCGCGUGCAGGAAGAAGGCGCUACGCGUUGUAAACUGCUUUUAACCGGGAAGAAACCCCAGGACGUGUCCUGGGUUGACGGUACCGGAGGAAUAAGCACCGGCUAACUUCGUGCCAGCAGCCGCGGUAAUACGAAGGGUGCAAGCGUUAUCCGGAUUCAUUGGGUUUAAAGGGUGCGUAGGCGGAGCGUUAAGUCAGUGGUGAAAUCCUGCAGCUUAACUGUAGACUUGCCAUUGAUACUGGCGCUCUUGAGUGCGCUUGAAGUGGGCGGAAUGUGCCGUGUAGCGGUGAAAUGCUUAGAUAUGGCACAGAACACCAAUUGCGAAGGCAGCUCACUAAGGCGAUACUGACGCUGAGGCACGAAAGCGUGGGGAUCGAACAGGAUUAGAAACCCGAGUAGUCC